CGGGGUGCAGCAGGCGCGAAAACUUUACAAUGCUGGCAACAGCGAUAAGGGGACCUCGAGUGCCAGGAUACAAUCUUGGCUGUCGCGAUGCCUAAAAAGCAUUGCAUAGCAAGGGCCGGGCAAGACCGGUGCCAGCCGCCGCGGUAACACCGGCGGCUCGAGUGGUAACCGCUAUUAUUGGGUCUAAAGGGUCUGUAGCCGGCCGGAUAAGUCUCUUGGGAAAUCCAGCUGCUCAACAGUUGGGCUUUCAGGAGAUACUGUUCGGCUCGAGACCGGGAGAGGUGAGAGGUACUUCAGGGGUAGGGGUGAAAUCUUGUAAUCCUUGAAGGACCACCAGUGGCGAAGGCGUCUCACCAGAACGGAUCUGACGGCAAGGGACGAAAGCUAGGGGCACGAACCGGAUUAGAUACCCGGGUAGUCCUAGCCGUAAACGAUACUCGCUAGGUGUCAGCCACGGUGCGACCGUGGUUGGUGCCGUAGGGAAGCCGUGAAGCGAGCCACCUGGGAAGUACGGCCGCAAGGCUGAAACUUAAAGGAAUUGGCGGGGGAGCACAAGGGCGAAUCGC
rnacentral:rRNA from 1 species